rnacentral:rRNA from 1 species
GACGUAGGGCGCGAGCGUUGUCCGGAUUUAUUGGGCGUAAAGAGCUCGUAGGCGGCUUGUCGCGUCGAAUGUGAAAACUCGGGGCUCAACCCCGCGCUUGCAUUCGAUACGGGCAGGCUCGAGUUCGGUAGGGGAGACUGGAAUUCCUGGUGUAGCGGUGAAAUGCGCAGAUAUCAGGAGGAACACCGGUGGCGAAGGCGGUUCUCUGGGCCUGUACUGACGCUGAGGAGCGAAAGCGUGGGGAGCGAACAGG